GAUGAACGCUGGCGGCGUGCCUAAUACAUGCAAGUCGAGCGAACAGACGAGGAGCUUGCUCCUCUGACGUUAGCGGCGGACGGGUGAGUAACACGUGGAUAACCUACCUAUAAGACUGGGAUAACUUCGGGAAACCGGAGCUAAUACCGGAUAAUAUAUUGAACCGCAUGGUUCAAUAGUGAAAGACGGUUUUGCUGUCACUUAUAGAUGGAUCCGCGCCGCAUUAGCUAGUUGGUAAGGUAACGGCUUACCAAGGCAACGAUGCGUAGCCGACGAGAGGGUGAUCGGCCACACUGGAACUGAGACACGGUCCAGACUCCUACGGGAGGCAGCAGUAGGGAAUCUUCCGCAAUGGGCGAAAGCCUGACGGAGCAACGCCGCGUGAGUGAUGAAGGUCUUCGGAUCGUAAAACUCUGUUAUUAGGGAAGAACAAAUGUGUAAGUAACUAUGCACGUCUUGACGGUACCUAAUCAGAAAGCCACGGCUAACUACGUG
rnacentral:rRNA from 1 species